rnacentral:rRNA from 1 species
AAUCAACGCUGGCGGCGUGCCUAACACAUGCAAGUCGAACGCGAAAGUCCCGCAAGGGAUGAGUAGAGUGGCAAACGGGUGAGUAACACGUGGGUGACCUACCUUCGAGUGGGGGAUAACGUCCCGAAAGGGACGCUAAUACCGCAUCACAUCCUGCCUUUGAACAGGUGAGAUCAAAGCUGGGGAUCGCAAGACCUAGCGCUGGAAGAGGGGCCCNCGCCUGAUUAGCUAGUUGGUGAGGUAACGGCUCACCAAGGCAACGAUCAGUAUCCGGCCUGAGAGGGCGGACGGACACACUGGGACUGAGACACGGCCCAGACUCCUACGGGAGGCAGCAGUGGGGAAUUGUUCGCAAUGGGCGCAAGCCUGACGACGCAACGCCGCGUGGAGGAU